rnacentral:rRNA from 1 species
UACGAAGGACCCAAGCGUUAUCCGGAUUUAUUGGGUUUAAAGGGUGCGUAGGCGGGCUGUUAAGUCAGUGGUGAAAGCUCCGAGCUUAACUCGGAAACUGCCAUUGAUACUGACGGUCUUGAGUACAUUUGAGGUGGGCGGAAUGUGUCAUGUAGCGGUGAAAUGCUUAGAUAUGACACAGAACACCGAUUGCGAAGGCAGCUCACUAAACUGUAACUGACGCUGAGGCACGAAAGCGUGGGGAGCAAACAGG